rnacentral:rRNA from 1 species
GCAUGUUGUAUAAUUAGAAGCAACCCGAAGAACCUUCCCAGGUCUUGACAUCCUCUGACAAUCCUAGAGAUAGGUCUUUCCCCUUAGGGGGACAGAGUGACAGGUGGUGCAUGGUUGUUGUCAGCUCGUGUCGUGAGAUGUUGGGUUAAGUCCCGCAACGAGCGCAACCCUUGAUCUUAGUUGCCAGCUUUCAGUUGGGCACUCUAAGGUGACUGCCGGUGACAAACCGGAGGAAGGUGGGGAUGACGUCAAAUCAUCAUGCCCCUUAUGACCUGGGCUACACACGUGCUACAAUGGAUGGUACAAAGGGCUGCAAGACCGCGAGGUUUAGCCAAUCCCAUAAAACCAUUCUCAGUUCGGAUUGCAGGCUGCAACUCGCCUGCAUGAAGCCGGAAUCGCUAGUAAUCGCGGAUCAGCAUGCCGCGGUGAAUACGUUCCCGGGCCUUGUACACACCGCCCGUCACACCACGAGAGUUUGUAACACCCGAAGUCGGUGGGGUAACCGUAAGGAGCCAGCCGCCUAAGGUGACCGGU